rnacentral:lncRNA from 13 species
UUUGGCAUCUAGUGCAAUGUACACACAGAGAAGCACUGCUAUUGUUGUUUUCUUUCGAAAAUGUCAUUUCUGUUCUGUGUUCCUUCUACGGAACUGUGUGUGUGUGUGUGUGUGUGUGUGUGUGUGUGUGUGUGUGUGUGUGUGUGUGUGCCUACGUCCAUGCCUGUGCUUGAGCGUGCGUAUCUCUGUAUAUCUAAUUAUGAUGUGCUUUAUUAAAUCCAUUCUCUAUCAUUUGCAGAUCACCACGACCACCUUGAGGACACGCUACUGCCCAAUCACCACUGGGCCCAGUGGGUUGGCAUGCCAACGAAGACCGAAAAGUAAGGGGAAAACCUUGAACAACAAUUACAACCUAGAUGCUGAUAGAUGACUGCAAUAAAUGAGCUCAUUUGAAAUAAUGCCCCCCCCACUCUUCAUCCAUGAUUCUGCCCACUGUGUGUCUCAGUGUGGCUAUCCUUGUGCGGAUGGCGUAUUCCCGCAAGUUAACUUUGUUCCAAUUACUGAUGAAUACGGGUUGGAGAGAAUCCUAUUUGUGGCACUUAGGAUUCAGAGAGGCUCACUGCAGAUAGUCCAGUAGUAGUGACUGGAUUGCUUUAGUUGAUAUCAUACCACAGGGAUUCAAUCAUACAUCAUCUUUUGAGGAUGAGAUAAGGUGAGUGAAGUGUAGAGAUGAAGCAUAACUCUUCAGUCGAUCUGUCCAGAGUUCGGCUGUGUUUGCGUACUAAUGUGAUUUUUCUUAUAUGGCUAUACCUCCAGGCAAGUGUCUGAGGGGAGCUGUCUGGCCCAAAAGGCUGGCCUAGAAAUGCCAUGUAUCCAACUAAAACUACCUCAAAUUGAUUCUGGAUGACACAAAAGCAGCACACAACUGGCGAGAGAGGAAAUUACUUUGCGUUAUCGGCAAACUGAAUGGAUGUUUUGAUGGGAUCAGUUCCAUAUCUCACACUUGUAUUGUUAUCCACAUGAAACUGACAUUACCCUUGUUAUUUGGGGACUGCUGUUUAUAUUACCAGUACUAGUGGGCAACACAGUAUCCUGAAAAUGUCUUGAUCUGUAGGGAACAUUUUUCCUGGUUUGUAGUUCUCAAUGUUAUAUAGCAGGGGUACUCAACUCUGACCCCACGAGGUCCGGAGCCUGCUGGUUUUCUGUUCUACCUGAUAUUGAAUUGCACACACCUGGUGUUCCAGGUCUAAAUCACUCCCUGAUUAGAGAGCAACAAUGAGAAAACGCAGUGGAAUUGGCGACGAUGUCCAGAAUUUAGUUUGAGGGUUAUAUAAACUCAGCAAAAAAAUAAAUGUCCUCUCACUGUCAACUGCAUUUAUUUUCAGCAAACUUAACACGUGUAAAUGUUUGUAUGACCAUAACAAGAUUCAACAACUGAGACAUAAACUGAACAAGUUCCACAGACAUGUGACUAACAGAAAUUGAAUAAUGUGUUCCUGGGGGGGGGGCACCAGCUGCAUUCAGUA